AGUCUUAUAGUUAAAAUUAUAAUAUAAAAUUGCAAAUUUUAAGUUGAAAAAUUCUAAGGCUU
rnacentral:tRNA from 1 species